UACGUAGGGUGCGAGCGUUGUCCGGAAUUAUUGGGCGUAAAGCGCUUGUAGGCGGUUUGUCGCGUCUGCUGUGAAAAUCCGGGGCUCAACCCCGGACUUGCAGUGGGUACGGGCAGACUAGAGUGUGGUAGGGGAGACUGGAAUUCCUGGUGUAGCGGUGGAAUGCGCAGAUAUCAGGAGGAACACCGAUGGCGAAGGCGGGUCGCUGGGCAGUAACUGACGCUGAGGAGCGAAAGCGUGGGGAGCGAACAGG
rnacentral:rRNA from 1 species